rnacentral:lncRNA from 1 species
UUUUGACGAAAUGCAAAUUCAUUCCAUUAAAUUAAAACAAGUCUAGUCGGGACAACUCCCCAACUAACAAUGCAAUCACGUUGAUAAACAAUAAAACGAGCUAAACAAAUAGCCGCAUUGUUUCCAGACUGCUUAACAAACUGAAUCCAUGGAUUCUUGAAAUUGAAAAUGAAUACAAAGGCUUCUCGAGUAAUCCAGCAUACAUCAAUCCCGAAAAUGGUAGCUUCACAAUUGACCUUCACAAUAGUUCCAUGGCUGUUGCGGUGUUCAGACGACUCAGUUGUAAAAACUAAGCAAUGAGGAACAAGG